CACGCAAGCCCCGCCCCCACACCUGAGCCGCACCUUUGCCUAGGUGAACCACAUUUCCCAGCGGCCCCUGCGGGCCUUUUGCGCCUGCGCACUGGCAGGGACGGGGGCCGACGGAACUCCCGCGCUCUCCGGUCGCUUGGCCUCACCCGGUGUUGCCCCGCCAUGGAGAGGGUCGCUGUGGGGCGGGCCAGCUACGCGGACGCCACCGAGGCCGAGGGCGUCCCCACUCCGUCGCCCCCGCCGCCGGUCUCCCCGCCCGCCCUCGUCCGGGCGACCGACGCGGCGGAAGACGGUCCGGCCCCUCAACCUGAGGCGGGCGCCCCCGGCUGCUCCGGCGCCCGGCCCCCCGAGCUGCAGCCCGAGCGCAGCCUCGGCCACUUGAAGGGUCGCUUCGAAGACUACGACGAGGAGCUGGAGGAGGAUGAGGAGCUCGAAGAGGAGGAGGAAGAGGAGGAGGAGGAAAUGAGCCACUUCUCGCUGAGGCUUGAGGGGGUCCGGCCGGACUCGGAGGACGAGGAGGAGCGCCUGAUUAAUCUCACUGAGCUGACCCCAUACAUCUUGUGUUCCAUUUGCAAAGGUUACUUAAUAGAUGCAACUACCAUUACUGAAUGCCUUCAUACCUUUUGUAAAAGCUGCAUUGUAAGACAUUUUUACUACAGCAACAGAUGCCCAAAGUGCAACAUAGUGGUACAUCAGACACAACCUCUUUAUAACAUAAGGUUGGACCGGCAGUUACAAGACAUAGUGUACAAAUUAGUGAUCAAUCUAGAGGAAAGAGAAAAAAAGCAAAUGCAUGACUUUUAUAAAGAAAGAGGUCUAGAAGUACCUAAACCUGCUAUGCCACAGACUGCCCCUUUAAGCAAAGGAAGAACUAAGAAAGUCCUAGAAUCAGUGUUUCGUAUUCCACCUGAACUUGAUAUGUCUUUAUUACUGGAAUUCAUUGGUGCUAAUGAAGACACAGGACAUUUUAAGCCAUUGGAAAAGAAGUUUGUCCGAGUUUCGGGAGAAGCAACUAUUGGGCAUGUAGAAAAAUUCCUCAGAAGAAAAAUGGGUCUUGAUCCAGCUUGUCAGGGAUCAAACUCAUGACCUGCCUGCUUGCAAGGCAGGUGGACAUCAUCUGUGGCGAUCACUUGCUGGAGCGGUACCAGACCCUGCGGGAGAUCCGGCGGGCAAUAGGUGAUGCAGCAAUGCAGGAUGGUCUUCUUGUUCUUCAUUAUGGUCUUGUGGUUUCUCCUCUGAAAAUAACUUGAAGAGGUGAAUUAUGUUUCAAGGAGGAGAAGGAGGCUUCUGCAGGACUGCAUUUCACCAAAGACUUCCACAGAAUAUAUCACCGUCACCGCUUCACGCUGCCAAGAUGUAGCUAAUCUACUUUUAGAACCAGGAUACAGCUUGGGAUGAAGGAAUGCAUCUGUUAUUAGAAACUGUAUAAAAGCAUCAGAGCUCAGGGGAAAUUUUCAGAACAUUGCCUUUCAAACUUGUUAUUCCAGAUACUUUGACAUUGAUUUUUCCUUCCCAUUUUUACAGCACACUGGUUACUGUGUCCUCCAUUGUUGAGUGCACACUUUUGACCGGUCAGGCGACCCUGGGAAAGCAGGCAGUGCAUGUGUGGAGGCUCAGAGCAGAAUGGCGGGCUGUGCCUGCGUGUCACUAUUCUAUGUGAAAAGACUGUUUCCUUUAGGGUGUAUUGCCCACGCCAAAAGCCUUCAGUAUAAUAAAACUUCUUAACGUA